GAUGAACGCUGGCGGCGUGCCUAAUACAUGCAAGUCGAGCGAACAGACGAGGAGCUUGCUCCUCUGACGUUAGCGGCGGACGGGUGAGUAACACGUGGAUAACCUACCUAUAAGACUGGGAUAACUUCGGGAAACCGGAGCUAAUACCGGAUAAUAUAUUGAACCGCAUGGUUCAAUAGUGAAAGACGGUUUUGCUGUCACGUAUAGAUGGAUCCGCGCCGCAUUAGCUAGUUGGUAAGGUAACGGCUUACCAAGGCGACGAUGCGUAGCCGACCUGAGAGGGUGAUCGCCCACACUGGAACUGAGACACGGUCCAGACUCCUACGGGAGGCAGCAGUAGGGAAUCUUCCGCAAAGGGCGAAAGCCUGACGGAGCAACGCCGCGUGAGUGAUGAAGGUCUUCGGAUCGUAAAACUCUGUUAUUAGGGAAGAACAAAUGUGUAAGUAACUAUGCACGUCUUGACGGUACCUAAUCAGAAAGCCACGGCUAACUACGUG
rnacentral:rRNA from 1 species